rnacentral:rRNA from 1 species
GAUUAACGCUGGCGGCGCACAUAAGACAUGCAAGUCGAACGGACUUAAUCGAUUCUUUUAGAUUCGAAGCGGUUAGUGGCGGACUGGUGAGUAACACGUAAGCAACCUGCCUAUUAGAGGGGAAUAACAGUGAGAAAUCAUUGCUAAUACCGCAUAAGCUAGAGACACCGCAUGGAGUAGCUAGAAAGGGAGAAAUCCGCUAAUAGAUGGGCCUGCGUCCGAUUAGCCAGUUGGUGGGGUAACGGCCUACCAAAGCGACGAUCGGUAGCCGAGCUGAGAGGCUCAACGGCCACAUUGGGACUGAGAUACGGCCCAG